UGUGAGGCCACAGCCUGCUUGCCAUCCCUGGCGGGAGCAGCACUGUGUCCUCCACUCUCCUCUGACUAGGCUUUUGGCAGUGGGGCUGUCUUUCUGGCCCUCACCGUGGAGCCCACUCCCAGGGCUCUACGAGGCUGGCCUGAUUGUUAUUCUGGAACACUGAAGUCAUUCAGAAGCCCCCUGCAGCUCUGUUGGCCCAAAUGGCCUGGCCAAGCAUAUUCUGUCUGGCCCCCAGACCAGGCCAUAGAUUUAUUCUGGAUCACAGAUGCUGGUCUCAGAAAUACCUCAAUGAGACUUGGUGUGCAGGGAGCUGCUGGGUGACAAGGAAAUGGAAACACUGAGGCCACCCUUGGAAGUAUGACUGGAAGGCUUAACUGGGAAUUCAUAAGUUACAGCUUUAGUUCCACUCACUGAACUCAACAUAUGACCAAUGACUGACUGAUU